rnacentral:rRNA from 1 species
GACGAACGCUGGCGGCGUGCUUAACACAUGCAAGUCGAACGGAAAGGCCCUGCUUUUGUGGGGUGCUCGAGUGGCGAACGGGUGAGUAACACGUGAGUAACCUGCCCUUGACUUUGGGAUAACUUCAGGAAACUGGGGCUAAUACCGGAUAGGAGCUCCUGCUGCAUGGUGGGGGUUGGAAAGUUUCGGCGGUUGGGGAUGGACUCGCGGCUUAUCAGCUUGUUGGUGGGGUAGUGGCUUACCAAGGCUUUGACGGGUAGCCGGCCUGAGAGGGUGACCGGCCACAUUGGGACUGCGAUACGGCCCAGACUCCUACGGGAGGCAGCAGUGGGGAAUAUUACACAAUGGGCGGAAGCCUGAUGCAGCGACGCCGCGGGCGGGAUGACGGCCUUCGGGUUGUAAACCGCUUUCGCCUGUGACGAAGCGUGAGUGACGGUAAUGGGUAAAGAAGCACCGGCUAACUACGUG